ensembl:lncRNA
CCAUGAAGGAUAGUAUUUUCUGUAGCGUGUAGACAAUUUAUGAGACAUGUUCUUUUAGAGGAUGUAAAUUAUAAUGUUUUUAUAGUGCCCUAGUUUUUUUGAGUGAAUGGGGGGGAAUUACAUGCUGGGUGCUGAGAAAGGUUUUAAGGCUGAACAGUAAGAUACAGGUAAGGGUCCAGGCACAUACUCUGGGGAGUUCAGGGAUAUGGGGUAAGAGUAUUUGAACAAUUUUGUGUCAGUUGAUCGAGGACCCUGUCUCAAGCUUCCUAAUCACUGUUCAGGUUUCUUUAAAACACACAGUUAAUGAUCCUCAUUGACAGUCAAACUGGUGCUGUCACCCCCCUAGGACACACAGCUCUCAGACCCUGCCUGUUUGUCACAGUGUCUCCCACUCCGUGUCGACUGUAAGACCAUGGCUGGUAGACAGUUAGUGGUUUGUACAGCGGUUCUGACUGAAAAUGUCACGCUUCCUGUUGCUUUGCAGCUGCCACCUCUGCUACUUCCAUUACUUUCUAUAAUAUGCAGAUGUUGUAACAACAUUCCCAGACAAGGGGACUACAAUAACUGUGUGAUUCAUGCAAUGUUUCAGAGGCCCGUCAAUUUCUGAAGUGGUACAAUUAAAGGGAGAAAUACAGUACCAGGUUUUUCACAGGCGCUGAAAUGUGAUUUUUUUUCUUUCUUUCUAGGAGUACUGUUUCAUAAGGGUUCAGAAAUCCACCCAAUUUUUACAGCCCUUUUCCUGAGUUGAGCUGUUCUGUGAGUCUUUGUGCGGCAAACCUGUCGCGACCCUCAGCGGAUAUGGAAAUGGGACCGGAUUGCAGAUAGACAGACCAGUGGUCACCCAUGUGAACACAUGAUUUUAUGUAAAGUUAAUGUGAUAACAUGACAACAUGUGAAGCAACAUGUAAAAACAACAUGGGGAUGCAACAUUUCAUUUCUCAGAAUGUUGUAUGAUAGUACACUGGGGGUUUGUGUCUAGUUGUGGUGAAAAUACGAUAAAUCUACAACCAGUUACUGUGUUUUAACACCUAAAUUAAGGUGUUAAUAUUAAAGGACAGUAUGCUGAUAUAUGUUGAUUAGUCGCGACUCAACCUCACUUAGGAUUUUAACUCACAAUCUUUUGGUUGUUAGCUACCUGAAGUUCCUCCUGCGCCACCAUGUCUGUACAUUUAUUGCCAAG